UACGUAGGGGGCUAGCGUUGUCCGGAAUCAUUGGGCGUAAAGCGCGCGUAGGCGGCCCGAUAAGUCUGCUGUGAAAGUCCAGGGCUCAACCCUGGAAUGCCGGUGGAUACUGUCGGGCUAGAGUUCGGAAGAGGAAGUGGAAUUCCUGGUGUAGCGGUGGAAUGCGCAGAUAUCAGGAGGAACACCUAUAGCGAAGGCAGCUUGCUGGGACGACACUGACGCUGAGGCGCGAAAGCGUGGGGAGCGAACAGG
rnacentral:rRNA from 1 species